rnacentral:lncRNA from 1 species
AUUUUUCUUUUUAUGGGAUCAAGACCCUCUCCUCAGGGCUCUUCCCAGUUUUAAAGAAAAAAGAAGUUUCAAGACGAUGAAAAGAUACAUGUCAUGCAGUCUGCAUCUUGCUGAUGCUAACCUAAUCCAUCAGCAGCCCGGGAAAUAUGUGCCUUGACAAAAGGAAGCAGAUGUGCUCUUAAUCCUCCUAAAGUGAACUAUGGGAUGGAUAAUCAUUGCUUCCCAUUUUUCAUCAGGAAUAGCUACUGGCAUAAGCAAUCCCUCUCUGCAAGUUCUCCACCUGAGAUGCAGGAAAUGUCUUGCCCAGUUUAGUAAGAGGCAUAUAAGACAUAAUAGGUG